AUGCAUACCUCGGCGUUAGCAAUGGUCACAUUCUUCCCUAUCCUCGCAUUCUUGUCAAUGAUGCAGUUUCUGGCAUGCGUACUGAAUCGAAGUAUUCUCCCCGAUCCCAAUCGGAACCUUUCCUUCGGCCAGCUGGUCGCAUCUUUCCAUGUCAGUUUCAUAGAAAUCAGCACCGAGCAUUACCGUAUCCUGAAGAAAUGGAGAACCACAUUUGCUGUUGUGGAAGGCUAUAAUGGAUCCCUAUUUUUGUUUAUGAUUUUUGCAAGCAAGAGGCCUAACCUUGAGGUGUACGUUGGAGCCUAUCCGAGAACGGAUUCCAACGACACUGUGCUCUACCCUGCAUUUAUCUAA
rnacentral:rRNA from 1 species